rnacentral:lncRNA from 1 species
GGACGACUGAGCCCAUCCCCAGCCCUAUUUUGUAUUUUAUUUAGAGACAGGGUCUCACUGAGUUGCUUAGCGUCUCACUGAGUUGCUUAGCGCCUUGCCAUUACUGAGGCUGGCUUUGAACUAGCGAUCCUCUUGCCUCAGCCUCCCCAGCCACUGGGAUUACAGGCGUGCGCCACCGCGCCCGCCUAGAAAUUUUCUCUGGUUUUCCAGGUCACAUUUGGAACUCUGCCUUCAUUAAUAUACGAUGAAUUCUAUUCAUGAAGCCGACUUCACCCAUGAAGUUAUAGAAGACAGUCUUUUUUCAGAAUUAUUUUAGAGGACAGCAGGACAACUCAGAGAAAAGAAUUUCUGUUCUAGCGUAUAAACACUUAAAAUGAUGUUGGUGGCACUAGCUGUGCAAGUGCCCACCCCCCACAGCUCUCAGUUAACACAUCAGAGUGUCUUGCUUGUUUGCAUUCCUUCCUAAAGAAAGGACAGUCCCAUGAAUUUAAAGCAAUUGGUGCAGUGAAACAAGGACACCAAAGCACCUGAUCAGGGAGGCUACCACGUGACAUACAGAUAAUAGCAUAUUAUUGAAAAGGACAUGCUAGGCCUGCAGUUCUUUUAAACACACUACUAAACACACUCGUGUCUUUCCCUUUGAUUUUAUUACCAGGCGGGGCUACCACAAAUUGCCCUGUAAUUGUGAAUGAAUAAUUGGGAAUGCUUCAGUAUUUGGAAUCUGAUGGCACUGGCAAUAGUAGCUCCCCCUAAAAUGUGAAACCUUUUAAAAGAAAAUUCGCAUCUCAUUCUGGAAGGGCUUAUUAAAUCCAUGAAUUUAUGUGAAUGAAAUCAUAGCACAGGGGUUGGGUGUAUAGACUUCAAGGCCCAAUUGCCUUGAUCUGUCACGUAUUAGCUGUGUGAUCUUGAAUAGGUUUCUUUACCUCAUUGUGCACCAGUUUCUCAUUUAUAAAAUGGAGCAUAGUAACAAUAGUGCUACCAGGGUUGAGAUACUAUUUUUAAGAGCUUGGAUCAGUGCCCCAUACAUAAUGGUUGCUAUUGAAAUGUUUGCAAAAUUUUUAAAACGUGACAUACAGAUUAAUGUAUCUACCAUUAUUUAGGGCACUGGAAAUAAAGCAGGGGAAAAGAACAGAGUCCUUGGUCUCAUAAAGUUUGCAUCCUGCUGGGAAGACACUGAUAAUAAGCAAAAUGUAAUAAGGAAGGUAGUGAUCACAGGUAGGUAGGUAGUGAUAACAGCUUUUUUGGGGGGGAGGGGAGUAGUAAAAUAGGGCAUGGAUGAUAUGGGAAGAGGAGUUCUAAUAAUGUUAUAAAGGGUGGUCAGGGAAGGCCUCCCUGAUAAAGGAGCUCUUUGAACAAAUACUUGAAGGAAAUAAGGGUGAGACAGGACUUGGAAUGUAGCUCGGUAGUGGACCUCUUGCCUAUCUUGCUUAACAUGAAUGAGGUCCUGGGUUCAACAGUGGACAGGGGGUGGGGGAGAGAGAACAAGACCUAAAGAAUAUCCAAGAAAGAGCAAGUGAAAGAAAUAUCCAAGUGAAAGAAAGAACUGAUAAGUCUGCCCUUGAGGUAGGAGAACACCUGUCCAGUUAGAGAAUUCAAAAGAAGGCAAGCAUGGCUACAGCAGAACUGACCUGGGAAGGGUUGUAAUCAGUGAGGACCCAGAAGAACCAUGUGAAGGCCUGGUAGGCCAUUAUGAGGAGUCUGGCUUUCACUCAGUGGGAUGGGAGUGACAUGAACUUAGGAUCUAAUAGGGAUCCUGCAUAACAAUGAAAAACUUAGCUAUUGUAAUCCAGUUCAUAUUUCCUAUAGGUAUAAAUUCUCUGGACUUCCAGUUCCAUAAAUUCAUGUUUUGGCAGAAAAAUACUGCAAUUAAUAAAGAAAGCAAGCCCAAAUAUAUGCCUUUACAUCAUGUACUAGUAAUCAACAUAAAAGUUAUUUCCUAAAAGUUCCUUAAGGGUUUUUCUUUUCUGUAAGAUGAAUGUAACCUGAAAGACUUAAAGUAUUUUCCUGAAAAAUGACAUGUUAUGAUGUCUUCUAUGCACUCCAAAUAAUGGGGGGAAGGGUAUGUGAAACAAGAAUUGUCAGGAAUUGAUCAUUAUUGAAGUUGAUGAGUACAUGGAGGUUCAUUAUAUUAGUCACUAACUUCUGCAUGUUUGAAAUGUUUUAUAAUAGCAAGUUAAAAUACGGGUUUGAUAAUAUUUGAGCUGAGGAUAACUUUUCCUGCCCAAUGUUCCUGUGUUAAUACAGGUGUUCUUCGUCAUCAUUCAUGAGUAGAAAGAACAAACCAGCACAGUUGAACACAUCACAUCAGACACAGCCCUCAGACCUCAGGAGCUCCAGGUGAUAUAGACUUCCUAGGUGAAAAUUUGAACCUAGGAUUUUUGAAACCUCAGUGGAUAGAAAUAAAAAGGAAAAAAAUCAGAAAGAUUUUAAAUACAUUAGCUACUAUCUGGUCUCUGUUUCUCAGGUGUUGGAAUCAAGUCUCCUCUAGUGAAAGCUCUUCCUUUGUUCUGAGACAGUCAUCAAAAUGGAGUUAUUUAUGCAAAUGUAAAGCAAAAAUCCAUCUUUAACAUGGGCUUCACAUUAUUAGUUUGAUAUCUCUUUCUGAAUUUCUAUUAUGCUUAUGAUUGCCAUUACCUCAUUAACUUUAGACAUAACCACCUUUUCAUUAAGAAAAAUAAAAGAUUUAAUCCUUAUACCAUGCCUCCAUUCUGAGCAAAGCCUCCAUCCUGAAGACAGGUCUGGAAGGGAGUAUGUUCACAUUUCUGCCUUCUGAGCUUCCAAUACAGUAAUAUCAUAAUUAUUGGCAAAGUCAGUUAUCAAUGUUACCUUAUAUGAUUUUCAUUGCAGCUGAGCCAGAUGGUGUACUAAGAUUUCAUUUCCUUGAUUUGCCCAAUUUUCUGUUACUACAGAAUCACUAAAUUAACUGUUGGUGAAACUUAGCAGCAGAAUUGUAAGACAUGCUCCUAAUUCUGUUUUCAAUAAAACAUCUAGAAUUCUAGCAGUUGGCUUUGAUGCAGUCCUCGUUACCAAGGGCUGUAUUUUCCUGCUAUAAAAUCCUGGUUAUUUUCUGGCCUGCUUUUCCUUUCUGGAAGCUUGUCUGUCAGAUCUUCUCUUUAUCUCGAAUAUUCUGAAAUUAAUAAUGAUGUGCUUUAGUGUGGGCUUUCUUUCUCUCUCUCUCUCUCUCUCUCUGCUGGGCACUGAGUGAGCCCUUUGAAAAACCAU